rnacentral:rRNA from 1 species
ACUCCUACGGGAGGCAGCAGUGGGGAAUAUUGCACAAUGGGGGAAACCCUGACUCAGCCAUGCCGCGUGUGUGAAGAAGGCCUUCGGGUUGUAAAGCACUUUCAGUAGGGAGGAAAGGUUGUACAUUAAUACCGUGCAGCUGUGACGUUACCUACAGAAGAAGCACCGGCUAACUCCGUGCCAGCAGCCGCGGUAAUACGGAGGGUGCGAGCGUUAAUCGGAAUUACUGGGCGUAAAGCGUGCGCAGGCGGUUUGUUAAGCGAGAUGUGAAAG